rnacentral:rRNA from 1 species
CAGCAGCCGCGGGAAUACGAAGGGUGCAAGCGUUAAUCGGAAUUACUGGGCGUAAAGCGCGCGUAGGUGGUUUGGUAAGAUGGAUGUGAAAUCCCCGGGCUCAACCUGGGAACUGCAUCCAUAACUGCCUGACUAGAGUACGGUAGAGGGUGGUGGAAUUUCCUGUGUAGCGGUGAAAUGCGUAGAUAUAGGAAGGAACACCAGUGGCGAAGGCGACCACCUGGACUGAUACUGACACUGAGGUGCGAAAGCGUGGGGAGCAAACAGGAUUAGAUACCCCAGUAGUACCUGUCUCUUAUAC